CUAAGAUUUGCCAAUAAUCCUCGUCAGUACGAAAACUCUGCUACUAGAACCUGGAAGGGUGAAAAAUAAAGGUGAGUGGGCCUGAAAAUAAAGUUUUAAUAAAAACCUUUUGAAAAACUAUAACCCCUCGCCGUAAAACCUGUAUAGUUUCUAGAAAAUACUACUACGUAGGUAUGAAAACCAAUGCACAAGAGCAGCGAAAACUGAAGUAUGCCAUGUCAUAAUAUCUCAGCAAUAAUAAAUGUAAGCCAGGUAUGAAACCAAUAUAAAAUAGUAUGCCAGUUGGAGUCACCUUACGUGACCCGUACGACUGGACCUGUAGCUCAUCAACAUAUGUCUACACACGAGUCGAAGUCACCUAAUGUGACCUAUACGACGGGCCAGGUGUAAAUAAGUACGCUCAAGUGCUACGAUCAUGUAAAAGUUGUGCGAUAGAUCGUGAUAGGAGCAUAUUUAUGCAACUGAGUUAGCUUGUUCUCAUGCAUUUAUGUUGUUAUUUCUUAGUUAAUUAUGUAUUUUAAGCUAUUUUCGUGUGUUUGUAGGUCCAUAGGCCUUAUAAAGCAAUAAGAUGCAUAUUGGUGCAUUUUGGAGAAGUUUUGGGCUUGGAAUGGAUAGCACAUGCAUGGAGCAAGGUGGAUGGACGAAAUUGAAGACGAAAGAGGCUAGGAAUGUGUUAAAGAGAAAGAAGAAUUAGUGUAAAAAGGACAAAGAGCUCAGCCACAAAGGGGUGUCACUCCACCAUUCACCUUUCCAUCAUUGCCGUGCACCACCAUUGCACUCCCUUUGGAUUCUUAUGCCGUGCAUCAUCAUCCAUGUUCCCUCCAUUGACUCAUUUGUUGCAUCAUUCCACUUCCUUUCCUUAGUCUACCAUGUGCACAAUAUCCUUUCACCUCCUUGCACUCAUUGAUUCAUCACUUACUCACCUUUCCACCC
rnacentral:lncRNA from 1 species